rnacentral:rRNA from 1 species
GAUCUCUUAAAGACUGUUCUCAGUUCGGACUGCAGUCUGCAACUCGACUGCACGAAGCUGGAAUCGCUAGUAAUCGCGGAUCAGCACGCCGCGGUGAAUACGUUCCCGGGCCUUGUACACACCGCCCGUCACACCAUGGAAGUCUGCAAUGCCCGAAGCCGGUGGCCUAACCACUUAUGUGGAAGGAGCCGUCUAAGGCAGGGCAGAUGACUGGGGUGAAGUCGUAACAAGGUAGC